UACGUAGGUGGCGAGCGUUGUCCGGAAUUACUGGGUGUAAAGCGCGUGUAGGCGGGAGGCCAAGUCUGUGGUGAAAUCGCUCGGCUUAACUGGGCGGGGUCCAUGGAAACUGGUCACCUGGAGGUCGGUAGAGGCAAGUGGAAUUCCACGUGUAGCAGUGAAAUGCGUAGAGAUGUGGAGGAACACCGAUGGCGAAGGCAGCCCCCUGGGUCAAGAUUGACGCUCAUGCACGAAAGCGUGGGGAGCAAACAGG
rnacentral:rRNA from 1 species